rnacentral:rRNA from 1 species
GAAGAAGCCCCGGCUAACUUCGUGCCAGCAGCCGCGGUAAUACGAAGGGGGCUAGCGUUGUUCGGAUUUACUGGGCGUAAAGCGCGCGUAGGCGGAUCGUUAAGUCGAGGGUGAAAUCCUGGAGCUCAACUCCAGAACUGCCUCCGAUACUGGCGAUCUAGAGUCCGGAAGAGGUGAGUGGAACUCCUAGUGUAGAGGUGGAAUUCGUAGAUAUUAGGAAGAACACCAGUGGCGAAGGCGGCUCACUGGUCCGGCACUGACGCUGAUGCGCGAAAGCGUGGGGAGCAA